GAGAGAGAGAGAGGGAUUUAUUAUGAGGGAUUGGCUCAUGUGAUUAUGGAGGCUGAGAAGUCCCAGGAUCGGCUGUCAGAGCUGGUGGCCCAGGAAAGCUGGUGGAAUAGCUCCAGUGCAAACCCCAGUGCCUGAGAAGCAGGGGAUCCAAUGGUAUAUCAGUCAGAGCCAGAAGGCCUGACAACCAGGAGCACUGAUGUCCAAGAGCAGGAGAAGGAAAUGGAAAUGGCCUGACAGUGAUUGUUCCAUGACAACUAAUGAUUUCCUUUCCUCUUGGUACUGAAACAAGUUAUGUGGAAAGGAAACUCACCGAAGCAAUCAUGUCAUAAAAUGAUACUCAUUUGAACUGCGUACCCUCACUAAGACGAAAAGAAAAAAGAAGAAGCUGUGGAAGGAAAAAAAGAAAGUUGGGUAGGAGGUACCUGUGAAGAAAGAACGUUGGGCAGAAGGAGGGAAUGGAGAAUGAGAAUAAGAGGCAUGUCAUCUGCUUUAAGGGACAAAUUUGUCAACAAGCAAGAGUACUCUAGAGAGGUUUUUUCAGAAGUUUUGAUGUGAUAUGUGAUAAUGCUGCCUCCACCCCCAUAUUCCCAAGACUCAUUCAGAGAAAUUUAUGUUAUCCCUAAUGCUUCCAAUGUUGAGCUAUGAUUUUUUCCCCUCAGAUAGAACCAGGGGCUGAUUUUUCUAUGCCCUCUUCUGCUUUCUCUUCCCCUCAUAGUGUGUCUUUCAUCCUCAGUUGCCUCCUUGAGACAAUGCAUGAUUUCAGUGUCCUUAAGGUAUAGGGAACCAACCAAAUUUUAUAUAUUUCUGUUUCUCCUGAAGAUACAAUAUGGAUCUCACACUGAUUAAAAUGUCUAAGUAUAAAGAGAAAGAUAUAUGUCACUAUAAACAAAUAGAGUGAACUAUUCCAAACAGAAUUUAAUGUUUAACAAAGAAUUUAAUUGUUCAUUAAAUUCUACACCAAAUAUUUUAUGUAAUUCUGGAAAA